rnacentral:tRNA from 1 species
GAGCUCGUGGCGAAACGGCAAACGCGCACGCUUGAGGAGCGUGUUUUUGAAGGUUCGACUCCUUCCGAGCUCA